GUUGACUCGGAUCAGGUAGGGAUA
rnacentral:rRNA from 1 species